GUGAGUCAUCGAAUCUUUGAACGCACAUUGCGCCCCUAGGUAUUCCUUGGGGCAUGCCUGUUCGAGCGUCAUUUCAACCCUCAAGCCCAGCUUGGUAUUUGGGUGCUUGUCCUGCCCCCCGCAGCGACUCACCUCAAACUCAUUGGCAGCCCGCAUCCGCCGGCCGUGAGCGCAGCACAAACGCGCUCGAGGCACGGGCGGAUCGGCUCUCCAGAAGCUACCACCCCAUGUUGACCUCGGAUCAGGUAGGGAUACCCGCUGAACUUAAGCAUAUCAAUAAGCGGAGGA
rnacentral:misc_RNA from 1 species